GAUGAACGCUGGCGGCGUGCCUAAUACAUGCAAGUCGAGCGAACAGACGAGGAGCUUGCUCCUCUGACGUUAGCGGCGGACGGGUGAGUAACACGUGGAUAACCUACCUAUAAGACUGGGAUAACUUCGGGAAACCGGAGCUAGUACCGGAUAAUAUAUUGAACCGCAUGGUUCAAUAGUGAAAGACGGUUUUGCUGUCACUUAUAGAUGGAUCCGCGCCGCAUUAGCUAGUUGGUAAGGUAACGGCUUACCAAGGCAACGAUGCGUAGCCGACCUGAGAGGGUGACCGGCCACACUGGAACUGAGACACGGUCCAGACUCCUACGGGAGGCAGCAGUAGGGAAUCUUCCGCAAUGGGCGAAAGCCUGACGGAGCAACGCCGCGUGAGUGAUGAAGGUCUUCGGAUCGUAAAACUCUGUUAUUAGGGAAGAACAAAUGUGUAAGUAACUAUGCACGUCUUGACGGUACCUAAUCAGAAAGCCACGGCUAACUACGUG
rnacentral:rRNA from 1 species